GACGUAGGGCGCGAGCGUUGUCCGGAUUUAUUGGGCGUAAAGAGCUCGUAGGCGGCUCGUUGCGUCGGCUGUGAAAACCCGCAGCUCAACUGUGGGCUUGCAGCCGAUACGGGCGGGCUUGAGUUCGGUAGGGGAGACUGGAAUUCCUGGUGUAGCGGUGAAAUGCGCAGAUAUCAGGAGGAACACCGGUGGCGAAGGCGGGUCUCUGGCCCGAUACUGACGCUGAGGUGCGAAAGCGUGGGGAGCAAACAGG
rnacentral:rRNA from 1 species